rnacentral:rRNA from 1 species
CUGGCCUUGACAUCCAGAGAACUUUCCAGAGAUGGAUUGGUGCCUUCGGGAACUCUGAGACAGGUGCUGCAUGGCCGUCGUCAGCUCGUGUCGUGAGAUGUUGGGUUAAGUCCCGUAACGAGCGCAACCCCUAUCCCUGGUUGCUAGCAGGUAAUGCUGAGAACUCCAGGGAGACUGCCGGUGACAAACCGGAGGAAGGUGGGGAUGACGUCAGGUCAUCAUGGCCCUUACGGCCAGGGCUACACACGUGCUACAAUGGCGCGUACAGAGGGCUGCCAACUCGUGAGAGUGAGCCAAUCCCUUAAAACGCGUCGUAGUCCGGAUCGGAGUCUGCAACUCGACUCCGUGAAGUCGGAAUCGCUAGUAAUCGCGAAUCAGAAUGUCGCGGUGAAUACGUUCCC